UACGGAGGGUGCAAGCGUUGCUCGGAAUCAUUGGGCGUAAAGCGCGUGUAGGCGGCCAACUAAGUCUGAUGUGAAAUCCCAGGGCUCAACUCUGGAACUGCAUCGGAUACUGGAUGGCUAGAGGAUGAGAGAGGGUGGUGGAAUUCCUGGUGUAGGGGUGAAAUCCGUAGAUAUCAGGAGGAACAUCAGUGGCGAAGGCGGCCACCUGGCUCAUUUCUGACGCUGAGACGCAAAAGCGUGGGGAGCAAACAGG
rnacentral:rRNA from 1 species